rnacentral:rRNA from 1 species
GCGGCUAUCAUAUGUAUCAAGGAGACAAAAUUGGCUGUUGUGGACAGGUUUACUAUUAUGCAAUGUAUUGGUCCAGCUUAUGAUGGCUUUGCUUAUCUCCCGGCCAAUGAGACUCGUGGAGGCAUACUGUUAGCGUGGAAAUCUAACCUUGUCCACAUCUCUAACCUUGUCAAUGACUCUCACUUCAUCACGGGCUAUGUUACCCCCCUGGUGGGAUCGCCCUGGUGGCUAUCGGUAGUGUAUGGGCCACGGGAGGACGUGGAGAAAAUUUCCUUUCUUGAUGAGUUGGUGGAAAGGCGUGCUCUUUGCCCGGGACCUUGGAUGGUCAUUGGAGAUUUCAAUCUCAUCCUUUGUGCUGCUGACAAGAGCAAUGCCAAUAUUGACCGGAGAAUGAUGGGACGAUUUAGGCGUUUUAUUGAUAACAUGGAGCUUAAAGAAUUAUUCCUACAUGGGCGCAAAUUCACUUGGAGCAAUGAGCGAGAGCUUGCCACCCUCACCAAGAUCGACCGCGCUCUCAUCUCGGUUGAUUGGGAACUGGAAUGUCCAAGCUGCGUGCUCCAAGCUCUGUCAACGAAUGUCUCUGACCAUUGCCCCCUGCACCUUGCGUUGGAGGAACACACUCUCACCCCCAGGCGCUUCAGGUUUGAAGUAUUCUGGACCAAG